CACGUAGGGGACGAGCGUUGUCCGGAUUCAUUGGGCGUAAAGGGCGCGUAGGCGGCUUUGCAAGUGACGGGUGAAAGCCCUCGGCUUAACCGAGGAACUGCCUGUCAGACUGUAAGGCUUGAGACCGGGAGAGGUGAGUGGAAUUCCCAGUGUAGCGGUGAAAUGCGUAGAUAUUGGGAGGAACACCAGUGGCGAAGGCGGCUCACUGGACCGGAACUGACGCUGAGGCGCGAAAGCGUGGGGGAGCAAACAGG
rnacentral:rRNA from 1 species